rnacentral:rRNA from 1 species
UACGUAGGGGGCUAGCGUUGUCCGGAAUCAUUGGGCGUAAAGAGCGUGUAGGCGGCUUGGUAAGUCCGCUGUGAAAGUCCAGGGCUCAACCCUGGAAAGCCAGUGGAUACUGUCGGGCUAGAGUCCGGAAUGGGCGAGUGGAAUUCCUGGUGUAGCGGUGAAAUGCGCAGAUAUCAGGAGGAACACCAAUGGCGAAGGCAGCUCGCUGGGACGUGACUGACGCUGGGACGCGAAAGCGUGGGGAGCAAACAGGG